rnacentral:rRNA from 1 species
CGGUGGAGCAUGUGGUUUAAUUCGAUGCAACGCGAAGAACCUUACCAGGUCUUGACAUCCCACGAAUUCAUCUGAAAGGAUGGAGUGCCUUCGGGAGCGUGGAGACAGGUGGUGCAUGGUUGUCGUCAGCUCGUGUCGUGAGAUGUUGGGUUAAGUCCCGCAACGAGCGCAACCCUUGCUAUUAGUUGCUAACAGGCAGAGCUGAGCACUCUAAUGGGACUGCCGGUGACAAGCCGGAGGAAGGUGGGAUGACGUCAAAUCAUCAUGCCCCUUAUGACCUGGGCUACACACGUGCUACAAUGGUUGGUACAACGAGUUGCGAGUCGGUGACGGCGAGCUAAUCUCUUAAAGCCAAUCUCAGUUCGGAUUGUAGGCUGCAACUCGCCUACAUGAAGUCGGAAUCGCUAGUAAUCGCGGAUCAGCACGCCGCGGUGAAUACGUUCCCGGGCCUU